rnacentral:rRNA from 1 species
UACGGAGGAUGCGAGCGUUAUCCGGAUUUAUUGGGUUUAAAGGGUGCGCAGGCGGGCUGUUAAGCCGGCGGUAAAAAUUCAGGGCUCAACCCUGUCGAGCCGUCGGAACUGGCAGUCUUGAGUGGGCGAGAAGUAUGCGGAAUGCGUGGUGUAGCGGUGAAAUGCAUAGAUAUCACGCAGAACGCCGAUUGCGAAGGCAGCAUACCGGCGCCCGACUGACGCUGAGGCACGAAAGCGUGGGGAUCGAACAGG